rnacentral:miRNA from 1 species
UAAUCCCUGAACGACUUGCAG